CGGCGUAAAGGGUGGUUAAGCAAAUAAUAAGAUAAGGUAGAACAACCAUUGAGCUGUUUAAAGCUAUGUGGUAAAGAACCCCAUAAACGAAAGUUGCCUUAAAAUGUUGAAUCCACGAAAGCUAGGAAA
rnacentral:rRNA from 1 species